rnacentral:rRNA from 1 species
GACGAACGCUGGCGGCGUGCUUAACACAUGCAAGUCGAGCGAUGAAGCUCCUUCGGGAGUGAAUUAGCGGCGGACGGGUGAGUAACACGUGGGUAACCUGCCUCAUAGAGGGGAAUAGCCUUCCGAAAGGAAGAUUAAUACCGCAUAAGAUUGUAGUAUCGCAUGAUAUAGCAAUUAAAGGAGCAAUCCGCUAUGAGAUGGACCCGCGUCGCAUUAGCUAGUUGGUGAGGUAACGGCUCACCAAGGCGACGAUGCGUAGCCGACCUGAGAGGGUGAUCGGCCACAUUGGGACUGAGACACGGCCCAGACUCCUACGGGAGGCAGCAGUGGGGAAUAUUGCACAAUGGGGGAAACCCUGAUGCAGCAACGCCGCGUGAGUGAUGAAGGUCUUCGGAUUGUAAAACUCUGUCUUCAGGGACGAUAAUGACGGUACCUGAGGAGGAAGCCACGGCUAACUACGUGCCAGCCGCCGCGGUAAAAC